AUACGUAGGUGGCAAGCGUUGUCCGGAUUUACUGGGUGUAAAGGGCGUGUAGGCGGAGAUGCAAGUCAGGAGUGAAAUCUAGGGGCUCAACCCCUAAACUGCUUUUGAAACUGUAUCCCUUGAGUAUCGGAGAGGCAGGCGGAAUUUCUUAGGGUGCGGUGGAAUGCGUAGAUAUUAGGAGGAACACCAGUGGCGAAGGCGGCCUGCUGGACGACAACUGACGCUGAGGCGCGAAAGCGUGGGGAGCAAACAGGAUUAGAUGCCCUGGUAGUCCACGCUGUAAACGAUGAAUACUAGGUGUGGGGGGACUGACCCCCUCCGUGCCGCAGUUAACACAAUAAGUAUUCCACCUGGGGAGUACGAUCGCAAGAUUGGAACUCAAAGGAAUUGACGGGG
rnacentral:rRNA from 1 species